rnacentral:rRNA from 1 species
UACGUAGGGGGCAAGCGUUGUCCGGAUUUAUUGGGCGUAAAGAGCGUGUAGGCGGCCAGGUAGGUCUGCUGUGAAAACUCGAGGCUUAACCUCGAGAUGUCGGCGGAAACCAUCUGGCUAGAGUCCGGAAGAGGAGAAUGGAAUUCCCGGUGUAGCGGUGAAAUGCGCAGAUAUCGGGAAGAACACCCGUGGCGAAGGCGGUUCUCUGGGACGGUACUGACGCUGAGACGCGAGAGCGUGGGGAGCGAACAGG